rnacentral:lncRNA from 1 species
UGAAAAAAUGUUAUAAUGAAAAAGAAGGGGAAAUAAAUAAAAAAAUCAGGGAGGAAACCCCAUUCCCACUUCCAUCUAGCCUUUGGCAUUUCUAAUUUUAUUCAGUGUUGGUGCUUUCUCUAGGGAUUUUGAAUUCUAUGAAAUAUGGCAUUUCAGCAGCAUCGCCUAACAUGUAAAUUGCUUUUUAGCUAACACUUACUAUCUUUACUUCAAAUCUUCUCCAGGAUUAGACAAAAAGUUGAGCCAGAACGUCUCUCUGCACGUUUUAAUCCGAUGGAUCCAAAUCAGUCAGUUUUUUUCUUUUUUUCUGGGAAAAUGGAUGAAGCAGCAUUGAAUUUUCUUAAUUGCAACCUUGUGAAAUUGGGCAUGUUUGUUUGUUUUUGUUUUGUUUUAGCAUUGUGUAAUGUGCUAAUGGUUCAGAGUUCCAUCUUUCCUGUGAUGAUUAACUCUUCUAAAUUUUUGUUCCUGUAAUUAAUGUACGUCAUCUCCAUUUAGUUAAAAACAUUAUUAAUUAAAAUUUUCUCGUCUAAUCUCC